AUGACCUUUGAUACUGCGAAUGAGGUGCGAGAGUACUACAACAACUACGCUAAAGCAAAGGGCUUUGGUGUGACAAGAAGAAGCUCAAACAAUGAUGAUAAUGGACAGCUGAAGUAUCUUACACUUUCGUGCUCUCGGCAUGGUAAGACUCAGUCCAGAUCAAGAAAUAUGUUGAAACCAAAUCCAACAACCGGGUUAGGAUGUAAAGCUAAAAUCAAUAUUACCCGUGGUCCUGAUGGGAAGUUUCAUCUUUCAACUGUCAUUUUAGAUCAUAAUCAUACAUUAAGUCCACACAAGUCUCGGUUAUUCAGAUGCAACCAAAAGUUAGACUUCCAUGUGAAGCGAAGGCUUGAGCUGAAUGACCGGGCUGGAAUUCGAGUAAACAAGAAUUUCAAUUCUUUUGUUGUGGAAGCAAAUGGUCAUGAGAACCUAACUUUUGGUGAGAAGAAUGCUCGCAAUUUUCUAGAGAAAACAAGAAGGUUGAAACUUGGCAGAGGUGAUGCUGAAGCAGUUAGUGAUUAUUUUGUCAAGAUGCAAUCUGACAACCCAAUUUUUUUCAGUGUCAUGGACCUUGAUGAUGAAUCUCGACUAAGGAAUGUCUUUUGGGCUGAUGCAAGAAGUAGAGCAGUGUAUGACUCUUUUCAUGACGUCGUUAGUUUUGACACAACAUAUUUGACGAACAAAUAUGAUAUGCCUUUUGCUUGUUUUGUCGGAGUGAAUCAUCAUGGACAAUCAGUUUUGCUUGGAUGUGCUCUAUUAUCAAAUGAAGAUACUGAAACAUUUGUUUGGUUAUUUCAAGCAUGGCUCACAUGUAUGUCAAAUCUCCAUCCAAAAGCUAUUGUAACCGAUCAAGCAAAAGCAAUUCAGAAUGGUGUGGAAAGAGUUUUUCCAGAAUCUCGAUAUAGAUGGUGUUUGUGGCAUAUAAUGAAGAAGAUACCCGAGAAGUUUGGUGGAUAUGAUGAGUAUGAUCACAUUAAGGCUGCUAUUGGCAAGGCAGUUUAUGAUUCAUUAACAAUUACAGAGUUUGAAGUUGCUUGGAUGCAUAUGCUUGAGAAGUAUGAUCUUGAUGAUAACGAAUGGCUUAAAGGGCUUUACCGCCAUAGGCACUGA
rnacentral:rRNA from 1 species